UUGCUAUCUGCGAUAUGGAAGAUUCGAACCUGCCGCAGGUUCGGGUCUCACGUAGUGAGAGAACGGAGCCGCUUGCGGCGACGGCCCGAAGGGCGAGCAAAGCGAGUCAUCCUGCACGACCCACCA
rnacentral:sRNA from 1 species